GCAAGUCGAGGGGUAACAGGGAUUAGUUUACUAAUUUGCUGACGACCGGCGCACGGGUGAGUAACGCGUAUACAAUUUGCCUUUUACAGGAGGAUAGCCCAGAGAAAUUUGGAUUAAUACUCCAUGGUAUUACGGAAUCGCAUGGUUUUGUAAUUAAAGUUUCGGCGGUAGAAGAUGAGUAUGCGUCCUAUUAGCUAGUUGGUAAGGUAACGGCUUACCAAGGCGACGAUAGGUAGGGGUCCUGAGAGGGAGAUCCCCCACACUGGUACUGAGACACGGACCAGACUCCUACGGGAGGCAGCAGUGAGGAAUAUUGGUCAAUGGAGGCAACUCUGAACCAGCCAUGCCGCGUGCAGGAAGACUGCCCUAUGGGUUGUAAACUGCUUUUAUACAGGAAGAAACUUAUCCACGUGUGGAUAACUGACGGUACUGUACGAAUAAGGACCGGCUAACUCCGUGCCAGCAGCCGCGGUAAUACGGAGGGUCCAAGCGUUAUCCGGAAUCAUUGGGUUUAAAGGGUCCGUAGGCGGGCGAUUAAGUCAGAGGUGAAAUCCCACAGCUCAACUGUGGAACUGCCUUUGAUACUGGUUGUCUUGAGUUACAGUGAAGUAGAUAGAAUAUGUAGUGUAGCGGUGAAAUGCAUAGAUAUUACAUAGAAUACCGAUUGCGAAGGCAGUCUACUAACUGUGAACUGACGCUAAGGGACGAAAGCGUGGGGAGCGAACAGGAUUAGAUACCCUGGUAGUCCACACCGUAAACGAUGGUCACUAGUUGUUGGGGCAUUUGCCUCAGUGAUUAAGCGAA
rnacentral:rRNA from 1 species